GACGGAGGAUGCAAGCGUUGUCCGGAAUCAUUGGGCGUAAAGAGUUCGUAGGUGGCAUACCAAGUCCGAUGUUAAAGCCCGAGGCUUAACCUCGGUUCGGCGUUGGAAACUGGUAAGCUGGAGCAUAGUAGAGGCAAGGGGAAUUCCCAGUGUAGCGGUGAAAUGCGUAGAUAUUGGGAGGAACACCAGUGGCGUAAGCGCCUUGCUGGGCUAUUGCUGACGCUGAGGAACGAAAGCCAGGGGAGCGAAUGGG
rnacentral:rRNA from 1 species